rnacentral:rRNA from 1 species
AUUGAACGCUGGCGGCAUGCUUUACACAUGCAAGUCGAACGGUAACAGGCCUUCGGGUGCUGACGAGUGGCGAACGGGUGAGUAAUGCAUCGGAACGUACCCAGAGGUGGGGGAUAACGCAGCGAAAGCUGUGCUAAUACCGCAUGUGAUCUGAGGAUGAAAGCGGGGGACCGAGCAGCAAUGUUUGGCCUCGCGCCUUUGGAGCGGCCGAUGUCGGAUUAGCUAGUUGGUGGGGUAAAGGCCUACCAAGGCGACGAUCCGUAGCUGGUCUGAGAGGACGACCAGCCACACUGGGACUGAGACACGGCCCAGACUCCUACGGGAGGCAGCAGUGGGGAAUUUUGGACAAUGGGCGCAAGCCUGAUCCAGCAAUGCCGCGUGCGGGAAGAAGGUCUUCGGGUUGUAAACCGCUUUUGGCAGGAACGAAACGGUGUCCGCUAAUACCGGGCGCUAAUGACGGUACCUGCAGAAUAAGCACCGGCUAACUACGUG